AACGAACGCUGGCGGCAGGCUUAACACAUGCAAGUCGAACGCACCUUUCGGGGUGAGUGGCAGACGGGUGAGUAACGCGUGGGAAUCUACCCUUCUCUACGGGAUAGCUCCGGGAAACUGGAAUUAAUACCGGAUACGUCCUGAGGGAGAAAGAUUUGUCGUGGAAGGAUGAGCCCGCGUUGGAUUAGCUAGUUGGUGGGGUAAAGGCCUACCAAGGCGACGAUCCAUAGCUGGUCUAAGAGGAUGAUCAGCCACAUUGGGGCUGAGACACGGCCCAAACUCCUACGGGAGGCAGCAGUGGGGAAUAUUGGACAAUGGGCGCAAGCCUGAUCCAGCCAUGCCGCGUGAGUGAUGAAGGCCCUAGGGUUGUAAAGCUCUUUCAGUGGGGACGGUAAUGACGGUACCCACAGAAGAAGCCCCGGCUAACUUCGUG
rnacentral:rRNA from 1 species